UGGGAAAGCUGGUCAAGUGGCCACUUGCUCACCUCAAGACAAUGAAUGAAGCUUUCCUGGAUGCUAAGUGACUGCCACCUUGUGAGCUAAGCCUGGCAAGACCUUUGGGCUACACUUCCCUCCUCACUGUGAGCUGUGGCUUGGGCAGGCUCAAAGGGGCCCACUCACUCUGCAGAUGUGCCUCAGGGACAUGGAUGACUCUGCCAGCUGCACUUGAGGGCAAAAUAAUCAUUUACAGCUUCCCAGGCUACACCUCUUGGACAUACACAUUGGAGGAAACAGAUGUCUGCUGUAAAAUUAACAAGAGCACUUCUACAUCCAGACAGUGAUGAAUAAACUCAAAGGAAAGGAAAAUCAUUUGGCAACCGGAAGGUGUGGGAGGAUAGCUGUAAAUGAAACUGACGGCAAAAAACAGAGCAGAGAAGUUUAAAGAAAAAAAAUAACAGCAUUCCUGGUGAUGCCCCAUUGGGCCAAUGAAACAAACACAUUCUGAAGCCUUUCCUAACCAGGAGCCAACCAAUCUCAUCACUGUGAAGCCAGAAAACCCUAUCUAUUGAAGAUGACUGCUUUCUUCUACUGUAGCUGGCAAUUUUAUGAAAUGAAGAAAAUUUGCUCUAGUUGCAAGUGACACACACCUCUUAAAUGUCUGCUAUCAAUUAAAAGUAAAAUACUGGUUACUUGCAACUAUCAAUUAGAUACAAUGCACUCCAGGAGAUCAGGAGCCUUGGCAUUCAGACAUAGGAGCAUUUUUUUGGCUUUGCCAUUUACUUGCAAUGUGACCUUGAUGAGAGAGAAGUUGAUGCUCAGCGAGGUGAAGUAAUUUGCCCAGGGUUAAGAUUCAAAUGCAAGUCUGGGGACCCUGAAGUCUGCUUCUUUUCACUGUGCUGCGUAGUGGCCUUAGCCUUUCCUUUCUAACAGAGAAGCCAAGACAGCAUACCUGUGUCUGAGUGCCCCAGUGGUGUGCACAUCUAUUACCUCAGGAAGAAAGAAUGUCUGAGGAGACGAAAUUUGCAAACAGUUACAAAGGACUGCACACACAAAUAUGAAUAAAGCCUCUUGAACACCAGAGUAAAGGAAUGUAGGUCAAAUAAUUGCCCUGUUCAGUGUCUCCCUCUCCCUCUUCAUUACCCAACUCCUCUCAUUUGCAUACAUGAGGCCCCAAGUGGAAGAUAACUUGGUGGAAAAUUCCAGGAGCUUUGCAACUAUCAUUAAAAGCAAAAGUUCAAGAAAUAAGGAAAGAAUUUUAAAUUCACUUUGUUUUAACUCAUGAUUAUUCUAAUUUAAAAGCUCAGAUUUAGUAAUGUGUUCAGAGCCAACUAGGCAUAGAAAACUGUAGCAAGCCUCUGGAAAAAUAAGCCUUGUUUGGCUGUUUUUUUUGGUUGUUGUUGUUGUUGUUUUGUUUUUGUUUUUUGAGACAGAGUCUCACUCUGUUGCCUAGUCUGGAGUGCAAUGGCAUGAUAUCG
rnacentral:lncRNA from 1 species